GUUGCAUUGUUGUUGAUGACAUUCGUCCAAAGGUGAUGUGGUGUCAUGUCGCUCGUGUAUCCUCGUUUUUGGCUUUUCCAGCUUAAAACACAUGGAUAAAUCGGUACGUGAUAGACAUCACUCCCUUGGUUGAUGAAAGUCGUCCAAUGAUGUGAUGGUUUGUUUAUUUUGUUCUCGCAUCGCUCGGUGCAUUCUGUGGUCAUUUGGGCUGUUAGCGGCUUGCUUGGCAAUUGUGCCUGGUGGGUGGCUACUAGUUCGGGUGUCUUCGGGGAUGUCUACCGUAAAGGUGCAUGAGUGGUGUUUGGUUUGUUACGGGUGGUUGGCUCUUUGCUUGCGCAACAACUUCCACCUGGCAUACCUCUUCAGUCCUGUGUCAAUGCUUGUAUUGCACUGAAUGCACGACGGGUUUCUUGUGUUGCAUGCCUAAUUAAUGGUAUCGUUUGAUGAAUUGGUUUCCCUUUUCGUCUUGCGUCGCCUAUGCGAUGUGAGAUGAACCUUGAAGCAGCCUUUGUGAUCCACACUUUUGAUGCAUACGCAUUGAUUUUGUGGCCCGUUAAGUGUUGCUUGGUCUCAUGGAUAUGGAACCUGGUGUGGGCAUGGAAUUGUUAUGGUUCCUUGUUUGCCCAAGUUUAGCUUUUCGAAAACGAUUUGUCUAUCA
rnacentral:misc_RNA from 1 species